GACAGAGGGGGCAAGCGUUGCUCGGAAUUACUGGGCGUAAAGGGCGCGUAGGCGGCCCGCUAAGUCGAACGUGAAAUCCCCAGGCUCAACCUGGGAACUGCGUCCGAUACUGGCAGGCUUGAAUCCGGGAGAGGGAUGUGGAAUUCCAGGUGUAGCGGUGAAAUGCGUAGAUAUCUGGAGGAACUCCGGUGGCGAAGGCGGCAUCCUGGACCGGCAUUGACGCUGAGGCGCGAAAGCUAGGGGAGCAAACGGG
rnacentral:rRNA from 1 species